UACAGAGGCCACGAGCGUUAGGCGGAAUCACUGGGCUUAAAGCGUGUGUAGGUGGAUGGGUAAGUACCUUGUGAAAUCCCACGGCUCAACCGUGGAACUGCUUGGUAUACUGCCUGUCUUGAGGCACUCAGGGGCGAGCGGAACAAAUGGUGGAGCGGUGAAAUGCGUAGAUAUCUGGAGGAAUACCGGUGGCGAAGGCGGCGUUCUGGACCAUUACUGACACUGAAUCGCGAAAGCUAGGGGAGCAAACGGG
rnacentral:rRNA from 1 species